GUGCUUGCUUCGGCACCUCAUAUACUAAAAUUGGGACGAUAGAGAGAAAAUUAGCAUGGCCCCUGUGCAAGGAUGACACGCAAAUUUGUGAAGCGUUCCAUAUUUUA